rnacentral:rRNA from 1 species
GACGGACGCUGGCGGCGUGCUUAACACAUGCAAGUCGAACGGAAAGGCCCCAGCUUGCUGGGGUACUCGAGUGGCGAACGGGUGAGUAACACGUGGGUGAUCUGCCCUGCACUCUGGGAUAAGCCUGGGAAACUGGGUCUAAUACCGGAUAGGACCGUGCUUUAGUGUGUGCGGUGGAAAGUUUUUCGGUGCAGGAUGAGCCCGCGGCCUAUCAGCUUGUUGGUGGGGUAAUGGCCUACCAAGGCGGCGACGGGUAGCCGGCCUGAGAGGGUGUACGGCCACAUUGGGACUGAGACACGGCCCAGACUCCUACGGGAGGCAGCAGUGGGGAAUAUUGCACAAUGGGCGCAAGCCUGAUGCAGCGACGCCGCGUGGGGGAUGACGGCCUUCGGGUUGUAAACCCCUUUCGGCAGGGACGAAGCUUUUGUGACGGUACCUGCAUAAGAAGCACCGGCUAACUACGCG